rnacentral:rRNA from 1 species
AACGAACGCUGGCGGCAUGCCUAACACAUGCAAGUCGAACGAGACCUUCGGGUCUAGUGGCGCACGGGUGCGUAACGCGUCGUAACCUGCCCUUAGGUUCGGAAUCACUCCCCGAAAGGGGUGCUAAUACCGGCUAAUGUCUUCGGACCAAUGAUCUAUCGCUCUUGGAUGGGCCCGCGUUGGUUUAGCUAGUUGGUAGGGUAAAAGCCUAACAAGGCGACGAUCCAUAGCUGGUCUGUGAGGAUGAUCAGCCACACUGGGACUCAGACACGGCCCAGACUCUUACUGGAGGCAGCAGUGGGGAAUAUUGGACGAUGGGCGAAAGCCUGAUCCAGCAAUGCCGCGUGGGUGAUGAAGGCCUUAGGGUUGUAAAGCUCCUUUACCCGGGAUGAUAAUGACGGUACCGGGAGAAUAAGCUCCGACUAACUCCGUG